rnacentral:rRNA from 1 species
UACGUAGGGGCCUAGCGUUGUCCGGAUUUAUUGGGCGUAAAGAGCUCGUAGGCGGUUCGGUAAGUCAGGUGUGAAAUCUCCACGCUCAACGUGGAGGCGCCACCUGAAACUGCCGUGACUCGAGUCCGGUAGGGGAGUGUGGAAUUCCCGGUGUAGCGGUGAAAUGCGCAGAUAUUGGGAAGAACACCGGUGGCGAAGGCGGCGACCUGGUCCUUGACUGACGCUGAGGCGCGAAAGCGUGGGGAGCAAACAGG